CAGACAUUACAAUAAUAAUGUAAAUAAAUCAUGAAAAAUAAUUAAAUUAUCAGUGUCGACGUUUCACUCGAUCAGAUCAUCACAGUCCAGACUGUGUUGGGCGGUCUUCGGGAUUUUUCGACUGGAUUCAACGAACUGCAUCAAGAUAAACCUUUGUGGAAACUGACUUCUCAGAACGGUGGCAGCAAUCCUGGGCUUAGAAUUAAGCACGGCCAAAAGUUUCUGCUGUUAACCCGAUGCCUGGGGUAGCGCAGCUGCGAUGUCAAGUCACGGUUUGGAUUUACUUCUAGAGAGAGCUUCAGGGAAACUAUGGAGGAGCAAGUUUAUGUAAGAGAAUUAGGCUUUAAAGAGGAAGAUCAUUUGAGGAUGAAAGUAUGUAAACUCAAUGAUUCUGAUUGAAGUGAGCCUCUGAAUCAGGCUUUGUGAGGAUUUACCUUUAAUAAUGUUUCAUUUGAAUUGUUAAAAUCUCAUUUAGUGAAACUCUGUCUGUCUCUAUAAAAUGUAUUAGAGGAAUAACUGAAUAGCUGCAGGAAUACAAAUUAAAUUAAUAUUUUUUAGAUUUAGAUAGCAAGCUUUAACAAAUACUUCUCCAGUGAUCUGAGUCACAUCAGUUCUAUUUCUUCUUCAAAUUUAUUUUCAAAUAUUCUCCUGUCCCUGUUUUUAGUUGGCAGUAAAUGUGUAUUCCACCUUUUUUUCUCAAUAAUAAACAGCUUUGCAUGAACGUGCAUCGUUUACACCAGGUUGUUUGUGUUGUCUGCUGGGAUGAGAGUUUGCAUUUUUAUUUUAUUUCUGCUCAGCCCAGGUCCAGCAGAGGAAGAUCCCUUCAGGAGAUACAGUAGAUGAUAUAGCAAUACAUAUUUAUUGCUUAUAUUUGUGCCUCAUGUGAUUUUUUUUUUUUUUUUAAAUGCUUGCACACAUUAUCUUCAUAUGACAUGUCUUUCUUGUAGCCCGCAGUACCUCAUUAAUGCUCCCAGUUAAAAAACCUCUGCAUGUGCCAACCUAACAUGGUAACAUUGCGCUGAAACAACAUUUCCAGUGUGUUGAAAUGAGGGGUUUCUGGCUAUGCUCGGGAGUGCUUCCCUGGAUGAACAGACUUAAUGUUUCAAAUAAAAUUUAUGCUUCAACAUCUCAAACACUUCUU